rnacentral:rRNA from 1 species
GAACGCGAAGAACCUUACCAGGUCUUGACAUCCCUCUGACCGCUCUAGAGAUAGAGCUUUCCUUCGGGACAGAGGCGACAGGUGGUGCAUGGUUGUCGUCAGCUCGUGUCGUGAGAUGUUGGGUUAAGCCCCGCAACGAGCGCAACCCCUAUUGUUAGUUGCCAUCAUUCAGUUGGGCACUCUAGCGAGACUGCCGGUAAUAAACCGGAGGAAGGUGGGGAUGACGUCAAAUCAUCAUGCCCCUUAUGACCUGGGCUACACACGUGCUACAAUGGCUGGUACAACGAGUCGCAAGUCGGUGACGGCAAGCUAAUCUCUUAAAGCCAGUCUCAGUUCGGAUUGUAGGCUGCAACUCGCCUACAUGAAGUCGGAAUCGCUAGUAAUCGCGGAUCAGCACGCCGCGGUGAAUACGUUCCCGGGUCUUGUACACACC